rnacentral:rRNA from 1 species
AUUGAACGCUGGCGGCAGGCCUAACACAUGCAAGUCGAACGGUAACAGAAAGCAGCUUGCUGCUUUGCUGACGAGUGGCGGACGUGUGAGAAAUGUCUGGGAAACUGCCUGAUGGAGGGGGAUAACUACUGGAAACGGUAGCUAAUACCGCAUAACGUCGCAAGACCAAAGAGGGGGAGCUUCGGGCGUCUUGCCAUCGGAUGUGCCCAGAUGGGAUUAGCUAGUAGGUGGGGUAACGGCUCACCUAGGCGACGAUCCCUAGCUGGUCUGAGAGGAUGACCAGCCACACUGGAACUGAGACACGGUCCAGACUCCUACGGGAGGCAGCAGUAGGGAAUAUUGCACAAUGGGCGCAAGCCUGAUGCAGCCAUGCCGCGUGUAUGAAGAAGGCCUUCGGGUUGUAAAGUACUUUCAGCGGGGAGGAAGGGAGUAAAGUUAAUACCUUUGCUCAUUGACGUUACCCGCAGAAGAAGCACCGGCUAACUCCGUG